CAGAAUUUGUUAGAUGGAAAAGCGGUCUAGCAAUAGGGCACCUGAAGCAUGCAUGUGUCAUAUGCUUUUUACCUACAGAUUCCACACCGGCCGGCCAUAUCAUACGGGAUGGGAGACUCGUGCAGAUUAGAUACACUAGUAGAAAACAGGGCAUUGAGCCAACAACAUUUGACCCGGAUUGGAUAUAAACCGGUUCUAAAGGGUCUGUCCGCUGGGCCCCCUCCCUGCAGCAAAUGGCCGCAAGGCCUUUAGGACCGGUUUGUAACACAAACCGGUCCUAAAGGUUUUUGGACCGUUUGCUGCAGGGAGGGGGGCCCAGUGGACAGACCCUUUAGAACCGGUUUGUAUCACAAACCGGUUCUAAAGGUUUUCUUAUUUUUGCAGCAACUGCAGGGCCCCGCUGUCAGACCCUUUAGCACCGGUUUUUAACACAAACCGGUCCUAAAGCCCUCCUCUCCUUCCUCCCUGAGCACCCUAUAUUCCACCCCAUUUUUUCUAGCUCGAGCUCAACUCCAUUUUUGCUCUCUCCUUCCUCUUGGGAGCUCUAAUCCAUCCCCAUUUUUCUCCACCAUUUGUCAAGAUUGUUGGCACCCGUCGGUCCUACGGUUAGCAUCAACAUUCCCUCUUCCGGCAUUGCAAGUUUUGCUCGUUUUCUUGCUCAUUUCAUUUUUGUUGUGCUAGCUAGGUGUUUGAUGAAAUGCCUAAGCUAGAGAGAGUUCAUCAUUUGUUAUGUAUACAUAUGCAAUUUGAGCUCAAAUUUAAUUAUGAUUUAUGGUUUUUUUUAGUGUCGCGCGCCUUGUCCCCUUCCUCACCGCCGUCGAUCGCCCCGUCACCGACACAACCUUGGUGAGCCUAUUGUUUUUAUUUACCAAAACAAAUUUUCAUUUUCUAUGAUUCGGAUGUGGUAUAUUAUCUUUUAUAACUACAUAUUUUCAUUUUCUGAUUAUAUGACAAUUAAUUACGCCGACCAACUUGACAUAGAUAUUUUUAUCUAGGAGGUAGUGGAACCGGAAAUGCCAAUCGACCCUAUUGGUGAGAAGUUACACUUAGUUGAACAAGAAAAUGUUGGCCUGAAAGAAAGAUUGAAAAAAACUGAAGAAAGGUUGGAAAAAACUGAAAGAGAGAAGAUGACCUUGGAAAAGGUUCUUGCCGGUGUCGUCGAUGGUCACAAGAGCGAGAUGGACGCAAUGCGUCUGAAGAUUAGAAAGAUUAGAAAAUAUGCAAUUAGUAAAGAGGCUUGGUAUCAUUAUGCCGUCGGGUCAAUUGUUACCUUUGUUGCGAUUUUGAUCGCAUUUGUUGUUGUUUUUAAAUGCAUUAAUUAGAGAGAGUUUUUAUGGUUUGGUUUCAGUGUGUGUUUUUAUGAGAACUAUAUAUGUAUGGUCACUACGCUACUUUGGUUUUAACGUGUGAUGAACUUUUUGUAUUAAUUAAUCAAUUUAGUCAUGAUGAUUUAGCAUAAUGGUUUUUGAUAAAUUUAUAUAAUGCAGAUGAACCGGCAAUGGAUGUACAGUGAUCGACGUCGUCCCGAAUUCCUUAAUGGCAUGCAUAGUUUUCUCAAUGUGGCUGAGAAAAACAGGCAGAAUGGAUUUAUUUUUUGUCCAUGUAAAAAAUGCCAGAAUAAGAGGAAUUUCCCUAACUCAAGAACCAUACACACCCACCUGUUGCAAGAAGGCUUCAUGCCCAGUUAUUUUUGUUGGACCAAGCACGGAGAAAGAGGGGUUGUAAUGGAAGACAAUGAAGAAGAAGAGGAUAAUGAUAACUAUCCUAUGUUCGGUGAACACGGUGAUACUGAAAUGGGGGAAGACGAGCCUGAACUUGAGGACAUUGUUGAUGAGUCUGAUGAUGAUCUUCGUCAGGUCAUUCGUGAAGAACAGAUAAACUGCGGAAGUGAAAACGAGAGGUUGAAGUUGGAGCGCAUGUUAGAAGAUCACAAAAAAAUGUUGUACCCAAAUUGCGAAGAUGGCCAGAAAAAGCUGGGCACCACCCUGGAAUUGCUGCAAUGGAAGGCAGAGAAUGGAAUAUCUGACAAGGGAUUUGAAAAGCUGCUGAAAAUAAUGAAGAAGAUGCUUCCAAGAGAUAACGUGCUGCCCUGCAGUACGUACGAAGCAAAGAAGGUUGUCUGCCCUCUAGGAUUGGAAGUGCAUAAGAUACAUGCAUGCAUCAAUGACUGCAUCCUCUACCGCGGUCAGCACGAGAAUUUAAAUGCCUGCCCGGUAUGCGGUGCAUUUUGGUAUAAGAUCACGCGAGAUGACCCUGGUGAUGUUGAGGGCGACGACCGCCCCAGGAAGAGGGUUCCUGCCAAGGUGAUGUGGCAUGCUCCUAUAAUACCACGGUUGAAACGUUUGUUCCGAAACAAAGAGCAUUCCAAGUUGCUGCGAUGGCACAAAGAAGACCGUAAGGAAGACGAUAUGCUGAGACAACCCGCUGAUGGGUUGCAGUGGAGAAACAUCGACGAUAAGUACGAGGACUUUGCACGUGACCCAAGAAACUUAAGGUUUGGUCUAAGUACAGAUGGCCUGAAUCCGUUUGGGGAGCAGAGUAGCAGUCAUAGCACCUGGCCCGUGACUCUAUGUAUCUAUAACCUUCCUCCUUGGUUAUGCAUGAAGCGUAAGUUCAUUAUGAUGCCAGUGCUUAUCCCAGGCCCGUCGCAACCCGGCAACAACAUUGAUGUGUACCUGAGGCCACUGGUUGAUGAACUUUUAGAGUUAUGGGCUGACGAAGGUGUACGUGUGUGGGACGAGUACAAACAGGAGGAAUUUGACCUACGAGGGUUGCUGUUUGUAACCAUCAAUGAUUGGCCCGCUCUUAGUAACAUCUCAGGACAGUCAAACAAGGGAUACAGCGCAUGCACACACUGUUUAGGCGAGACUGAAAGUAUACAUAUAGGCAAGAAUGUGUACCCGGGGCAUCGUCGAUUUCUUCCAGACAGGCAUCCCGUAAGAAAGAAAGGAAAGUAUUUCAAAGGCGAGGCAGAUACACGGAGGAAGCCAACCCUCCCUAAAGGUACUGAUAUAUAUGACAUGGUCAAAGAUAUAAAAGUAAUCUUUGGUAAGGGUCCUGGCGCACAAUUUGUUCCGAAUGACACCGACAACCACGUAGCCAUGUGGAAGAAGAAAUCUAUAUUCUGGGAACUACCCUAUUGGAAAUUCCUAGAGGUUCGCUCUGCGAUCGACGUGAUGCACGUGACGAAAAAUAUUUGCGUGAACCUGCUAAACUUAUUGGGUGUGCAUGGGAAGAAGUCGAGAGAGACACCAAAAGCACGGCUGCACCACCAACGUAUGCACGAACGAGACGACCUGAUGAAUCGAGAGAAUUUCAAAGGUCCUGCCAGCUACGCUCUUACCAAGGAAGAGAAGGAGAUCUUUUUCCAAGUCCUGAGCAGUAUCAAGGUCCCGUCUGGCUACUCGUCGAACAUAAAAGGAAUACUAAACCUGGAAGAGAAAAAGUUUCAAAACCUAAAGUCUCAUGACUGCCACGUGAUCAUGACCCAGUUACUUCCGAUUGCAUUGAGGGGGCUUCUGCCAGAAAACGUGCGAGUACCCAUUGUGAAGCUAUGUGCAUUCCUCAACGCAAUUUCUCAGAAGGCAAUCGAUCCAGCAACUCUACCAAGUUUACAGAAGGACGUGGUCCAAUGUCUUGUCAGCUUCGAGUUGGUGUUCCCACCAACCUUCUUCAAUAUUAUGACGCACCUCAUAGUUCACCUAGUCCAAGAGAUUUCCGUUCUCGGUCCUGUAUUCUUACACAAUAUGUUCCCCUUUGAGAGGUUCAUGGGAGUCUUGAAGAAUUAUGUUAAAAACCGUGCUAGGCCAGAAGGAAGCAUGGUCAAGGGCUAUGGAACAGAGGAGGUCAUUGAGUUUUGUGUUGAGGUCAUUGAGUUUUGUGUUGACUUUAUUCCUGACCUGAACCCGAUCGGUGUUCCUCAGUCGCGCCAUGAGGGGAGACUGCGUGGAAAAGGCACGCUAGGAAAGAAAUCAACAACAUGUAUGGACGAGCAAUCUUUCACUCAAGCACACUACACAGUUCUAGUUAAUUCCAGCUUGGCGGCUCCAUAUAUCCAGGAACACAAGGAUAUUUUACGCUCGGAAUACCCGGAGCAACCUGAAGAUUUCAUUGCUAAAGAACACGCGAAGACUUUCGGCGGUUGGUUGCAAAGACGUCUCAUUAAUGACAACAUUGUUGAAGAUGAGCUAUACUUGUUGGCCAAGCAACCAUCUUCGACUGUAUUGACCUUUAAAGGGUACGAGAUAAAUGGUAACACAUUUUACACGGCAGACCAAGAUAAAAAGAGCACCAACCAAAACAGUGGCGUCCGGUUUGAUGCAAAAGACGACAACGGGCAAAGGGUCACAUACUAUGGUUACAUAGAGCAGAUAUGGGAACUUGACUACGGACCUUCCUUUAAGGUCCCUUUGUUCUGGUGCAAAUGGUUCAACCUGUCAGGCGUGAAGGUAGACCCGAAGUACGGAAUGACACCAGUGGAUCAGAAGAAUCUUGGGUACGGGAAUGAUCAAUUCGUCCUAACCAAUGAUGUGGCUCAGGUUUUCUAUGUGAAGGACAUGUCUAGCAGACCGAGAAAAAGAAAAGAUAAGGAAGCGAAUACAUCAGACGAUGAGCCAAGGCGCCACAUAGUUCUUUCAGGGAAAAGAAACAUCGUGGGAGUCGAGGACAAGACAGACAUGUCAGAAGAUUACAAUAAAUUUGAUGAAAUUCCUCCCUUCAAAGUCAAAGAUGAUCCAAGCAUCCCGUUAAAUGAUGAAGAUAGUCCAUGGUUACGGCGCAAUCAGAAGAAAGGUAAGAAGAAAAAUAGAUAGGGGGUGUUGUUGGUGAUGUGUAAUAAUGUAUUAAACCUUUUAUGUAAUUGUGUUGACCAUUUUGAUAAAUAUUAAAAAUUUGACCAGUUUCCACUAAAUUUGAUCAUUUUGAUAAAUAUCAUUUUUUAUUUUUUAAGUGUAAAAAUGACAUUUUGACAAUUUGUAAAUAAAUGUAAAAAAAACAGAAAAGGAAAACANNNNNNNNNNNNNNNNNNNNNNNNNNNNNNNNNNNNNNNNNNNNNNNNNNNNNNNNNNNNNNNNNNNNNNNNNNNNNNNNNNNNNNNNNNNNNNNNNNNNNNNNNNNNNNNNNNNNNNNNNNNNNNNNNNNNNNNNNNNNNNNNNNNNNNNNNNNNNNNNNNNNNNNNNNNNNNNNNNNNNNNNNNNNNNNNNNNNNNNNNNNNNNNNNNNNNNNNNNNNNNNNNNNNNNNNNNNNNNNNNNNNNNNNNNNNNNNNNNNNNAACCUUUAGGACCGGUGUGUAACAACAACCGGUCCUAAAGGUGACCUUUAGGACCGGUCUGUAACAACAACCGGUCCUAAAGGUGGGUUCGGUUCGCGCCCGAAUUUGGACCCUUUAGCACCGGUCUGUGUUAGCAACCGGUGCUAAAGGGUCUUUAGCACCGGUUGUUAACACGGACCGGUGCUAAAGGCCCUAUACCUCUCCGGGGUCGCCAACUUCUCGCCUUCCCGCGCGUGCCUUCUCUCCUUCUCUCGCCUCCUCGCCGCAACGUCGCCUCCUCGCCGCCUCUUCGCCGCGCCGUCGUCAAAGGUAUAUCCAUAUUUUCGUAUAUUCACGUAAGGACAUCCUAUAAAAAAAAGUUACGUGAAGCCGCCUUCAUCAUAUUCCGACGAUUCCGUAAAACCCUAAACCGACGAUUCCGACGAUUCCGACGAUUCAUAGUUUACCCUAAACCGACGAUUCCUUCGAUUCCGUAAAACCCUAAACCGACGAUUCUGACGAUUCAUAGUUUACCCUAAACCGACGAUUCCGACGAUUCCGUAAAACCCUAAACCGACGAUUCAUAGUUUACCCUAAACCGACGAUUCCGACGAUUCCGUAAAACCCUAAACCGACGAUUCCGACGAUUCAUAGUUUACCCUAAACCGACGAUUCCGUAAAACCCUAAACCGACGAUUUCGUAAAACUUUCCGACGAUUACAAUUCCGUAAAACUUUCCUACGAUUCCGACGAUUCCAUAACUGCGGGGAAAGUUUCCGACGAUUCCGACGAUUCCGUAAAACUUUCCGACGAUUACAAUUCUGUAAAACUUUCCUACGAUUCCGACGAUUAAUUCCAUAACUGCGGGGAAAGUUUCCGACGAUUCCGUAAAACUUUCCGACGAUUCCGUAAAACUUUGCGAUGAUUACGACUCCGACGAUUCCGUAAAACUUUUCCGUAAAAUUUCCGGUUCCGUAAAACUUUUCCGUAAAUAAUUUUGCUAAGUUAAAUUCUUGUUACUAGCAGGUGUUGAGCUAUGGAUCCCCAAGAACCACAUGAUCAGCACGCCGAUCAGCUCGCGGAAAUGGGUGAGGCGGAGAAGGAAAGAUACAUGUGCCAGAUGAUUUUUGAAGAUGCAACGGCCAUAUAUCAUGAUGACGACGGUGGGCAUGCGUUUAGCAAUCAAUUUUUGAACGACUCCGGUGACGGAGCUGAGAAUAUAGAAGAUGUAGUAGAUGAAGAAGUGCCCUCCGGAACAAACUCUGCCAAUGUAUAUCUCAAGUCACUGUUGACGCAACAAUUAAUUUGUAUUGCACUUACUAACGAAUCAUUAUUCUCCCGUUUAGGUGCCCUCCGGAACACCUAGCGCAAGUACUGAGACAAAGUCGAAACGAGGCCCGGCCGCAAGGUUGAAAGAUACUGCAAGGUACUCGAUCGAUAAAGUUGCUGCUGAUGGCAAACCACUGGAACCCCCAGAAACUUAUCGCAAAUUUGUAAAUCAGUGCGGAGUUGUUGUAAGAGACCUGGCCCCGAUCAACUUAAUAGAAUGGAAUAAGCCGAAGACCGGCGCCAACGUUGGAGCUACUUAUGUCGAUGACAGAUUGAAAAGAGUGCUUUGCGACACGGUCUGGCUAAAUUUCAGCGUAGCGGAAGAUAAGAAGAAGAAAGUCGAGGAGUGGGCUUUGAAGAAGAUGGCCACACAAUUCCAGAGGUGGAAGAAAGACUUGUGGAAGAAAUAUAAGGACGAAGAUCCAUUUUUCACUGGGCACCUAGUGAAGAUAAGAGACGCUUGGCCUGAUUUUAAGGCGUACAAGAAAUCGGGUGUCUUUACAUCCCGAUCAGCCACAAAUACGGAGAAUGCGAAGAAGAAGAAAUAUCACCAUAUUUUGGGGUCAGGUGGCUACAUGACUGCCCUGCCUAGGUGGCGACGCUAUGAAGAUGCGCUUCUGAAAAGAAAUAUCAUUCCACAGACACAUGACUGGCCCGAUAGGUCCAAGUUCUGGUUGUUCGCGCAUGGGGCAACGUUGGACGCUGAGACUGGGAUGAUUGUUGCGGAGGGACCAUGGUCGGAAAAAAUAAGACAAGUCGUAUCAGAUCUAGAGAAGGCAAUAGAAGCUGUUCGAAAAGGAACUUUUGUUCCCGAUAGAGAGAACGACGAGUUGACGAAGGCACUCGGGAACCCCGAAAAGUGGGGACGAACACGAGGCUUUGGAGCCACUACCCCGUGGAACCAAGGGUUUCCGGCGGACCUUGGCACUUACAGAAGCCGUGGUAGAAGCAAGAGGAAGGCGCUGGAACGGAUAGCGACAUUAGAAGAAAAGGUGUCGUUUCUCUUGAAGAAAGGGGGACACCCUGUACCUGACACUGAAGAGGAGGAAGAAGAUCCUGCACCUGACGCUGAUAGGCAGCAAUUAGAAGACGAUCCUGUAGCAGAUGCCGUCCCAUCUCAGCAUGGAAGCAGCGUGGGUUCCACGCAGCUGCAGCUAGAAGACGGUCCUGCAGUCGAACCGUCGGCGCCUCACUACCCCGUGGAUGAUGUCACGGAGAAGACAAACUGUGAGAUACAUAUGCCAAUGGGGAACAUAUCCUUCAUGGUGGCGUCAGGCUAUGCUUUACCGAAUCAACCUGGAGCAACCUACCAUGGUGGUCAGAUUCCAGCAUCCCAUGCUCGUGUCGGGUUGUCAACAAUUACGCCGGGAUGCCAGUCAAUUGGGCUUGAUAUUCCUGGCGGCGAGGUGAGAAGACACUGGAAGAAACACAUCGUGUUUCCUAAUGCGGCGCCAAGGCCACCGACUCCUCCAGGUACAAUUAUGCACCACCUCCAACAAUUACUGAAUGUUGCACCACAUGUAAGCCUAUUUUUAAUAGUUUUUUCACUUUCGUACAGAGAAUGCACGACCUCCAAGUCCACCCCCCAACGCACCUCCAAGUCCACCCCACAACGAAGAUAGGGAGCCCGAGGCCGAGUGUCCAUCGCCCGUGCACUCCAGUGAGCCGACGGAUGCGCGCACUACGGGUACGGCAAAGCGGAAGCUGCAGUUCAGAAGAAACGGGAGUCCUCCCAAGAAGAGAGAAAGGAAACCCAAUAAAGUCAAGACUCCCCCGAAGUUACCAGGCCUGAUGACUCCGGAGGAACUAGACGAGGCCGUGAAAGCCAAAAACAAAGCAUGGUUCGCACGGUUUCCCCUGAAGCCCCCUCCAGACAUCUGUAAGGAAACUCUGAAGAACGUACCAAAGUGGAAAAUUGAGCGCACCAUCGACAACUUAUAUUAUCCUGAACCGCCGCCACCGCCGCCCCUUUCAGACUAUGAACGGUUCAUUGAAAAGAUGCACACCGCACAGAUGAAGCAGGUGGAGCAGAUGAAGCAGGCGGAGCAGACGAAAUGCGGGAAACAAGUUCCCCAGCUCGGACAACAAGAAGCACAGUCAAUUGCCCCGCUCAAGGUGUUAUCUGACCAGGCUUCAGUGUCCGGUCCACGCAUGGGCGACGUAGGUUACGCUAUUGCUGAUGUGGUAUAUAAAUAUAAGCCCGAGCAGCCUCUGGUCGAAAAUCCUAGUGCUCUAACAACCCAACUAUGGAAUUUACAUGGUUGGUACUUGGAGGCCGCAAGGCAAAAGAGAGACUGUAUCAUGGCGGCAGUUCAAGAUCAACACUACUUCGGAGAGUACGGUGUGGAGGUUGGGUUCGAUGAUUUUUUCCAGAUGUACAAUCAACGUGCCCUCGACAAAGCUAUCGUCAGCUGCUACUGUUUGUAAGUGAUUUAUUUGUGUAAUUUAAUUAUUUAGUUAAGCUCGCGUUCAUUGCCCGUAUAAUUAUCACUCAUGAGACAUUCUUUUUGUACGCUACUAUGCAGAAUGAAGAUUCGUGAAUGCAGGCUGGCAGGAAUCUGGGACUUUGGGUUCAUUGACCCGUAUUCGUUUCAUCAAGAGACAAUAGAAAAGUUCAACAAGGAUACACCGGAUGAUUUGCUAAGGUUUUUGAAGCGACAAAGUACCAAAAAAAAAUACUUUGGCCCUACGCAUUCAAGUGAGUGUUACUGUCUUGUACACAUUCCAUUUUGCUUACCUGAUGUUAAGUGUAAUUGAUGAGUAUGCAUGACUGCGUGUGUACAUGUGCGCAGGUCCCACUUCAUAUUGUUCAUCAUUAGAAUCGAUCAAGGAGUGGUUGAAGUCUGGGACCCGUUAACCUGGGACGCUGACAAAUGGAAGAGCGCGUGUCAGAUGCUUCAAAGGUAUAUAUAUAUCGGCCUCUUUCGUUCAUCGGCCUCUUUUUCGUUCAUUUCCUGAUAUCAAGUAAGUAAUAAUUAACUCUUGUAUUCAUUUUUCUUUGUCGGCCAGGGUUUGGCAAAUGUUCAUCAAGGAAGAACCCGGUACAUGGGCAGACAAGCUCCACUUUCAGAUUAACAAAGUAAGUAGUACUACGUACCCUGGUUUCAAUACCAUUACCAUUCUCUUGAUUAUUAUUAAUUUGACUGAAUUAUGUUCUCGUAUAUAGGGCAUCCCGCAACAACCACAGGGCACUGAUUAUUGUGGAUACUACGUUUGCGAGUACAUUCACAGGAUUAUCAAUGAGAAAUCCCGUACUUCCAGAAAUCUAGAGGUACGUAACCGGAUCUUCAUAACUUUAUUUAUGUUGCCAUCAAUUAUGUUAGUUUUGUUCAUAACUUAAUUGUUUUCAUCUACUUCUUUUAAAGCUGCAACGAAAGCGGGCGAUGCUAAGACCAAUCCAACGUUGCAAGGCAGUUGCAGAGGAAUUGGCAGGAUUUCUCCUCACGCAAGUCAUAGAUGAAGGCGGAGAAUUUUUCCAUCCUAUGAACCAAUAGCCAGCUCCCUUCUCUAUGCAAGUAUAGAGCUAUAUAUAGGAAACGAACUUCAAAUUAUGUAAUGAUAAUCGAUCCAGUAUUUCGUGUUACAUGUAUAUAUGUACUUUUAUUUGGUGCAUCAACAUUUAACCGCAAACACGGAAUCGGAGAAACACUUAACCGCAAACACGGAAUCGGUGUUUCCGGAUACGUGUUUCCGAUUACGUGUUCGUAAAAAACGGAACACGGACACACGGAAUCGGAAACACGGAAUCGGAAAGACGUAAACGGAAAUACGAAACCGGAAACACGUAAACGAAAACCCUGAAAAUACGGACCACGGAAACACCGAAAUACGGAAUCGGAAACCCUGAAAAGAAAAGGAAAAAAAANNAAAAAAAAAAGAAAAAAAAAGCAUUAGGACCGGUUGGUGUUACCAACCGGUCCUAAAGGUCCUCCGCCUGCGCGCACUUUUCGACGCCCACGUGGAGGCCUUUAGCACCGGUUUGUAAGAGACCGGUGCUAAAGUGGGGGGCCUUUAGUCCCGGAUACGUAGCACCGGAUGUGUAUCCGGGUCCAAAGGCCCUUACCAACCGGUUCUAAUACCCCUUUCUCCACUAGUGAUAUAUAUGCAUGACAAGACGAUGUACGCACGAGAAACGAGGGGAUAUAUGCAUGACAAGGAGAUAUAUGCAUGAAAAAUGACGGAUCUCUGUGCCACUGUGAUGUGAUAUGUACAUCUCUCUCUAUACAUAUCUUUCCUCUGAGAUAACACGUCUUCACAACUUCAAAACAUUGCCAUCAUAUCCUUCGUGUUCUGCAAAUUUAGCAAUUGUGAGAUUUCGGAGGAGACCAAAUGCAGACCAAUGCUGCAGUUUGCUUUUAUCCAAUAGCUGCUGGAAUACAAACAAGUUUAAUUUCAAGUCUUUUAUAGACUUGAACACAUGUACCUAGCUUACCGGUCUAGAUCGAGCCCGGUGCUGAGAGGGUGAAUGCUCAGAAGUUUCCGAAGGGAUGGUACAACUCAGUCCACUGAGGUUGAUCAACAUCACGCCCCUGCAAUGAGGACGGUGAUCAUUCAGGGUGGGCGGGACGAACGGGCUAUUCGACCCACUCGUGGCCUGUUGGGUCUUUGCUCGCUCGGUCAUGGCCCGAUGAAAUAUUUAGACAGUCCAAUUUUGAAAAUAAGUUUCGACAAACACUCGGUCCAAUGCAAAUUUUGACCGAGCGUCUGAACAGUACCAACCAAACACAAGAGCCGUGUCCUUUGUCUUCGGCCACCGGCACCCGCAAGUGAACCACUAUGUCUCCGAGCAUCGUUAGAUUGUCCUCGUCUUGCCUGCAUGAUGAUUUGGGCUGGAACGCCACCUGCACGACGGGCCCCACAACAGUGUAGCCCGUGCACCCACGCGCGCAUCGCAUGAACUGCGUCUCCUUGCCCACGACUUCGACGAACAUGUUAGUGGAAUUUUUGUCUAAAAAGACCACUAGCCAAAUGUUAUUGUUAAAAAGACCACAUGCGGUAUGAAAUGAAACAAAAGAUCCCCAUUUUUUAUGGCGACAAGCGCGCCAGGUGACGCGUGACACCUGCCGCCACGGGCCGAGGCGGCUGGGCCCCGCCGCCACCCGGCUAGGCGGCCGGCCGUGCAGGUGGCACCUGUCGCCNAAUGAGUGUCUUUUCUCUUAUUUCAUACCGCAUGUGGUCUUUUUUAACAAUAACAUUCGGCUAGUGGUUUUUUUGACAAAAAUUCCAUUUUAGUAUCCGGCGUCUAGUGUGCGCUGCACCGUCUCGUUUGUCAGGACGAGCUUCAUGAGGGUGGAGACGCUACCAUAGAUGAUCUUCUUUUUCGUAUGCUGCAAGCAGCCCGAGGAGUUACUAUUUAGGAUAGGGCAGGCCACGGCAUACAGAGCACGCACUCAGCUCACGCUCCCCCGCAGGCGCUCCGGACGGCUUUCGCCUCGCCGGUCUGCUCCGGACGGCUCAGUGGUGCCCGAGGGACGCCUCAACACCAUGCCGUACAGCGAGAACGCUUACUUGCUCACCCUUGGGAUCAUGCUCCACCUGGACCUGGUGCGCCGUUCGCCGAGUGGCUCCGUGCAUGCAUGGCAUGCGUUGCCGAGGCUUGUGGCCAUGUUAGCAGAUACUGACGUCGAGGGGUGCCAGUGUGACCAGUUCCAAUCUUUUGCAAUCUGAGAAAGGUAAUAAGAAUGCUGCUUCAGGGAGUUGUUUUUUUUCUUUUCAAAUGGAGGAUAACCCCGGCCUCUGAUCAAGCAAUGCACACAGCAACUUUCUGUAUGUUUUUCAACAGAACAUAACAAAUACAUAGAUCAACUCCGAGCCACCUUCUCACGCUCUAAAUCGCAAGACCUGCUCUGGGUGAUGGGCCUUGUACGCGCCAACACACGCCAUGUAAUCCGGUGGUCUUCCCAAGCCUUAGUACGCAUCGUCAAUCGGUCUAGCUGACCGUCAACGUGCACCACAUGAGGCGUAAGAGAGGGCAUGUUAAAAUUUGCCCCCAAAUAAUAACAUUUCCCCAUCUUUUGGAUCAGUUUUGUUACUAGUACGGUAGUACCAGCNAGGCGUAAGAGAGGGCAUGUUAAAAUUUGCCCCCAAAUAGUAGCAUUUCCCCAUCUUUUGGAUCAGUUUUGUUACUAGUACGGUAGUACCAGCACCAUAUUUCGAGGACCCUGCCGUCACAGUUAAAGUGCCCAAGGAUUGCACCAACGACAUCAAACCUUUAGUGAGUACAUCAUUCUUCAGUCGACUAUUCUCCAUGCAUGCUAGUUCGAUUCCCCUUUUGAUGGUUUCCUAGUGAUCAAGAAGUGUUUGAGAUUGGACAGAAGCACUGCAAGUGAAGGAAUGAGCUCGUAUUGCCUUGAUGUAUUCAAUCCCUCUUGGGUGCUUAUAUACAGUUACAGAGGGAGAGAUAAGAGGCCACAACAGCCACGAUGGGCAUGGCCCUGCAUGGGAGUCGUGGCUAGUGGCAUGUGAUAUGCAUGGGUUGGUUGAGAUCCAAGAGAGCCGGUUGUGCGGUCAGCUAGGGGCCCAACAGGCAUGCGACGUGUUCCAACACGGGGGGGGGGCCCCCAGCCACAACGUGGGGAGCUCGAAUGUUGAGGCUGGUGCGGAACUCGUUGAAGAGGGAGGUCGGAAGCCCUUUGGUGAAGAUGUCGGCGAACUGGGAGCUCGUAGGAACGUGCUGGACACGCACUUCGCCAAGGGCCAUGCGCUCGCGGACGAAAUGAAGGUCGAUCUCCACAUGCUUCGUGCGUUGGUGCUGCACCGGGUUGCUGGACAUGUACAUGGCGCGCACAUUGUCGCAGUAGACGACGGUUGCACGUGCAGGAGGCUGAUGGAGCUCGCCGAGGAGGUGACGAAGCCAGGCGGACUCGGCAACGGCGUUGGCGACGGCGCGGUACUCGGCUUCGGCGCUGGAGCAGGAGACCGUGUUCUGCUGCUUCGAGGACCAGGUGAGCAGGUUGGGACCGAGGAAGACGCAGUACCCCGAGGUAGAUCGUCGAGUGUCGGGGCACCCGGCCCAAUCGGCGUCCGAGUAUGCAACAAGAUCCGAAGCAGUGGAGCGAUGGAGUUGCAGACCGAGGUGCACCGUGCCGCGAAGGUAGCGCAGGAUGCGCUUGACGACCUGGUAGUGGGCGUCGCGAGGCGCGUGCAUGAAGAGGCAGCACUGCUGCACCGCGUAGGACAAGUCCGGGCGCGUGAGCGUGAUGUACUGGAGCGCGCCGGCGAGACUCCGGUAGAGCGUCGGGUCGUGGAAGAGUGGCCCAGCGUCGAUGGAGAGCUUGGAGAGCGUGUCGACCGGCGUGGAGAUGGGCUUGCAGUUGAGCAUGCCGGCGCAAUCGAGGAUCUCGAGGGCGUACUGUUCCUGGGAGAGGAAGAGCCCAGCGUCGGUGGUGGUGACGUUGAUGCCGAGGAAGUGGUGCAGGAGACCGAGGUCCGUCAUGGAGAACUCAGUAUGAAGCGAGGCGAUGAUGUGCUGAAGAAGCCCGUCGGAGCUGGCGGUGAGGAUGAUGUCGUCCACGUACAGCAGCAGGUAGACAAGGUCACGCCCACGCCGGAGGAUGAACAACGACGAGUCGGAGCGAGACGCGGUGAAGCCGAGCGUGCGGAGGAAGGCGGUGAAGCGCGAGAACCAGGCGCGCAGAGCCUGCUUGAGGCCGUACAGGGAGCGGUUGAGGCGGCACACGCGCGACGGGUGAGCGGAGUCGACGAAGCCGGCCGGUUGCUGGCUGUAGACUGUCUCGCGCGAGGUGCCCGUGGAGGAAGGCGUUCUUCACGUCCAGCUGGUGAAUGGGCCAGGAGUGCCCGGCGGCGAUGCUGAGUACAGUCCGAACAGUGGCCGGCUUGAUGGCGGGGCUAAAAGUCUCGCCAUAGUCGACGCCGGCUUGUUGCGUGAAGCCGCGAAGGACCCACCGAGCCUUGUAGCGAGCGAGCGUGCCGUCGGUGUUGAACUUAUGGCGGAAGAUCCAUUUUCCGGUCACCACGUUAGCACCUGCAGGACGAGACACCAAACACCAUGUAUCGUUCCUCAUUAGAGCAUCAUAUUCCUCAAGCAUGGCGUUGUACCAGUUGGGGUCUUGGAGAGCAACGCGGUAGGAGGAUGGGAUGGGGCUAAUGGAAGGAAUGGUGGUGUGCAGGGAGACGAUCUGUUUGGGGAGGGACAUGCCGGACUUGGCCCGCGUGCGUAUGGCGUGGGUGUUGGUUGGCGGGGCGACGGGAACAGACCCAGGGGGAGGCGCGCUGGCGCUGCUGGGAGGAGCGGCCUGGGUGUCGGGAGCGGCUGGAGACGAGCCACGGGGCAAGGGGGGAGGCUGCAUGGGGGUGUAGUGGUGGGGCCCGCCGGAGGGGAACUGCAUGGCGGUAUAGUCGUGGGGCCCGCCGGAGGGGGACUGCAUGGCGGGGUAGCAGCGGGGGACGUGGGAGGCGCGCUGCAUGGGCUCGGGGGAGGUGCGCUGCGUGGGCGUGAGGAUGGGGGGUUGGUUGAACAGCGGGCAUGGGACCAGCGGGCAUGGGACCAGCGGGAGUUGGUUGGCUGGGAACUGCAUGGCGCUGCAUGGGUGGGUAGCGAGGCGCGGGUGUAGGAGGCGGGGCGCUACGUGCGGGGGAGGCGGUGCAGCCGCUGGUGACGUAGCGGAGAAGUAAGGAAAGACAGUUUCGCCGAACACAACGUGCCGGGAGAUGAUGACACGACGAGAGGCGAGAUCUAGACAACGGUAGCCUUUGUGUUCGAGGGCAUACCCGAGGAAUACGCAGCGAACGGCGCGAGGCGCAAGCUUGUGUGGGCUGGUGGCGUAGGUGUUAGGGAAACAUAGGCAACCGAAGAGCCGAAGGUGGUCGUAGGAAGGGUGGCGGCCGAGCAGGCGAAAGUGAGGUGUUUGAUGCGCGAUGGCAGACGAUGGGCGGCGGUUGAGGACAUGUGUUGCCGUAUGGAGUGCCUCGACCCAGAACUGUUCCGGGAGGCGAGCAUGGAUGAGCAAGACACGGAGGAUGUCAUCCGUCGUGCGAAUGAGGCGCUCGGCCUUGCCGUUUUGGGGCGAUGUGUGGGGGCAAGACAUGCGGAAGGAGGCGCCAUGGCGGGAGAAGAGCGAGCGGAGAGGUGUGGUGAGGAACUCGCCGCCGUUAUCGCAUUGCAUGGUGACAUGGAACUGCGUCUAGACGUAGGCAAAGAAGCGUGUGAUUGUGUCUGUGGUGUCGGACUUGUUCCGGAGGGGAAAGGUCCAGGAGUAGUGAGAGAAAUCAUCAAGUACCACGAGGUAAUAUUGAAAACCAGAGAAGCUACACACGGGCGAGGUCCAUAGAUCACAAUGUAAUAAUUGAAAUGGUGUUGUUGUAACAGAAGUAGAGGAAGAAAACGGCAGUCGAGGCUGCUUGCCUAAUUGGCAUGAGUUACAAAUGCUACGGGGGCUCACGCCAGGAGUACAUGAGGGAAGAAAAUCUUUAGCUAAAAUGGAGAUGGAGUUAUUGCUCGGGUGGCCGAGGCGAAGAUGCCACAGGGUGUCGACGACGGAGAGUGCAUGUUGGACGCCGGAGUUGCCAAAGAAGGGGUACAGGUCGCCGUGGCUAGUGGACCUCAUCAUGACACGCCCGGUCGCUAGGUCCUUCACAGUGAAACCAUAUGGGUCAAAUGUAAUGGAACAGAAGUUGUCAAUGGUAAAACGACGAACGGAGAUGAGGUUGCGGAUGAUGGAGGGGGAGACGAGGAUGUCGUUGAGGGUGAAGGAACCCAAGUUGGUGCGACCGACGGCGGUGAUGGGAAUACGGGAGCCAUCCCCAACGGUGAUGCCAGAGGAGUGAUGCGCUAGGGGGGAAGAACAUGAGGUGAGGGUGGACGUCUUACCGGCGACGUGGGAGGAGGCACCGGUGUCUAGGAUCCAGUCCUGGGCGCCGGCAUGCUACUGUUGCUGGAGCGACAGGUUGUGGAGCGCGGCGUUGAGGUUGUGGUACUGCUCCCAAGAGGGGCCGCCAGCGGCCAGGGGCGCCGUGGUGUACGCGUGAUGCGGAGGGGGCGGGCGAGGCCCGAGGACGUCGGCCGCGUUGGGGGCGGACCUCGGCGUGCGAGGCUGGGGCGGCUGGGGAGGGAAGGGGGCAUCCCAAGGGGCGAAGUAGCCCAGCCAGGGAUGAGCGUUUGUCGAGGCAGGCGUCAGAGCACUGUGGCCGCCUGCCGUGGGGUUGCCCGAAGGGGAGCUGCGCCCGCCGCCGCGCCCACGGCCUCUCCCGCGCGAGCUUUUGUCGCCAGGAGGGGAGGACGCGCCCCCCUUGCUCUUGUCGGUGUUGGGAGCAACGGCGGGGUCGGACGCACGUCCAACGGUGAGCGCAGUGGAGGGCGAGCCGCCUGAGCCGCCAGUGUGGCCAUCCAUGCAUGCCCGUUCGUUGGCGGACAGCUCCUCCAUGAGCAGACGAGAGCGGGCCUGGAUGAACGUGGGGAAGGGGUGCUGCAUCGUCAGGAGGGUUGCCAUGACGUGGAAACGGCGGUUGAGACCGCGGACGAGCUGGAGGGUGAGCGCUUGGUCAGAGAUGGGGGCGUCGGCGUCGCGGAGCGCAUCGGCCAGCGCCUUGAGCUGCCGGCUGUACUCGGCGAUGGAGAGGUCGCCUUGCAGGGUGUUGCGGAACUCCGCCUCGAGAAUGAUGGCACGCCCCGGCUGGUUGUCGCGGAACAACAGGUGGAGUUGAAGCCAUACGUCGUGCGCCGUGUGCUCCGGCGACAUCACCACAUCCUGGAGGUCCUCGGCGAUCACCUCGUAGAGCCAGAGAACGACGGUGAUGUCUUCAUUGCGCCAGACGGCGGAAGCGGCUGCGGGAUCGGCGGCGAUGUCGAGAUGAUGUUGCACGUUGUGCUUGCAGCAGAUGAAGUAGAAGAGUUGACGCCACUUGGAGUAGUUGCCGGUCUCCAGCUCGAGCUUGCGGGGGUAGUGAUGGGCGAUGGAGGCAGGGAGGCCGGCGAGGGCGGAUGGGCCAGCGUCAGCGUCGGCGUUGCCGGGGGCGCCGAGGGUGAGGCGCGGGACGAGCUCGCUGCCGGCAGUACGGAGGGUGGUCGCAGGCAGCUGGGAGAGAGCGGUGCGGGGAAGAGGAGCGCCGCGGGCGGGAGUGGCGGAAGAGGAACCCGUCGGAGGGGCGGGGAGGCCGUCGAAGGGGUGCGAGCUACGGGAAGAGGGGCGAGGGGGUUGCUGGGUGUGUUGUCGAAGUCGGCGGAGCGGCUGCAACGGAAUAGACGAUUCAUGGCGGAAGCGAGGAUCGAAGUCUGAUACCAAGUGAAGGAAUGAGCUCGUAUUGCCUUGAUGUAUUCAAUCCCUCUUGGGUGCUUAUAUACAGUUACAGAGGGAGAGAUAAGAGGCCACAACGGCCUCGAUGGACAUGGCCCUGCAUGGGAAUCGUGGCUAGUGGCAUGUGAUAUGCAUGGGUUGGUUGAGAUCAAAGAGAGACGGUCGUGCGGUCAGCUAGGGGCCCAACGGGCAUGCCACGUGUUCCAACACUGCAAACUCCUGCACCUCGAGGAGUGUGUGGAAAAGAGAGCUGAUGAGUCCAUCUGUUGGAGCUUCAACCAAGACCGGGUAAUGGUGAUAGGGACCUACCACAACUGUGUCGACAAUGACAAUUGUGAGAAUCUUCAGAAGGGCGUCGACAGAUAACACGGCUCUUCUGCUGAAACAUAACCAGAUCAAACAAGACUUUGUUGCCAGAGACACCUUGAAUGGCUCGCUAUCAACUGACCACUCUCUAUGAGCUUUAGGUGUAUAUUUGUGUUGUAUUUUUUGAUCAUGGGUACUUGUGAUCUCCAUCUCCAUCAUUUGACAGUUGCAUCGCUCAUACCCUUAGAAGGCAUAUCGUUUGAAUCGACAACAGCCUCACUAGCAUCGUUGUAUGAGCCAAUCUCGUCUCCAUGCAGCGCUGCACCUUCAAGGUGACGCCAAUCACGGGAGUGCUCUUCACCCAUGACGCCAGUUGUGGGUUUUGAAGAAAUGAAAUUUUCGCGGUCUAGGCGAGCCUCAAGGAUUAAAACAACAACCGUUUCUACAACAGCGAUAUCUCCUACAGACAACUUUCCCCAGCUCUAGUACAACAAUAUGCCUGAAGUGAAAGGUCAGGUGGAGCUUACCCUAAUUUGGCUUCCUCCAAGAAGAACUCCAGACAUCCAUGGCGAUCCGUCGCACACACAGCUCCCGCACGAAGGCGAUGAAUAGCCUAGCGACACCGAAAAGUUACUCACCGUCGAAGUUUUGUUUUGUUUUGAAGGAACCGUCAAAUCAAAUUAUAAAAUAAAUAAACCCCCCCCCCCCCGCUAUAUGCAGGCUCGCGUGGCCCAAUCAAAACAUUAUUAAUCACCCACCAGCCCACCUACUGACGCGACACUAAACCCGGCCUAGUAGGUACAUAACACAUGUAACAGCUCGGCGCCACUAUUAUGCCUCCAUAAUUUUUUGAGUUUUUUUUAUCUGUGCGAACUUGAACAUGUCCCCAUUGUUUACCCAUGCUGAUUUUUCCCAUUUUACUCAAUGGGUAAGAUACCCUUAUGGUGAUGUUUGCUUGUAUAAGGAUAGUGUAAGAGUCGCUCACCAUUUGCCAAAAACAAACAUUCAGAAAAUCACAUGAAUCAAAUGCACAUCAUACUAAUAAAAUUUUAUGUUGAUGAUAUUAGAAAGGUUCUAUAUUGAACACACGAUUCGUUUUUCCGAAAAGGCCAUUCUCAAAACACAUUAGUUAGCAAACAUAUGUGUGUUUUGAUCUUAAUACCUUCUUGGCAACCUCUUUUCUACAAAGGAAUUAUGGCUUUGAUGUGUGAUAAAGUUUUAAAAGAUCCUAUAUACACGCACUCAACAUUGUUAACCAAUGAUACUCCGUCAAACCCGGGGCACAUUCGCCACUGAGCCAAAAAUAUCGCUUCCAUGUGCUACCACCAUGUCAUGUUUAUGUGGGGAGCAUCCUUUCCCUCCUGAUCACGAACACCCCACCCUCCCGCCGGCUUUAAUUCCAACACUCGAUAAAUGCAAGAAUAGAAAGAACAAUCUCAAACCACCUACGUAUCAUAUUUUGAUUUUGUUUUCUCAAUUAUAUUUAAAUUGCAUAAAAGAAAAACACCCGCUUAAUAUCACGAUAACCAUAUUAAAAUAGUGGCACCAUCUAAUUGGGUAUUCUAAAUACCAACACGCGCGGCUUUCAAUGCAUAAUGCCAUAACGGUGAUGCAAAUGUGGUAGCAUACACACAAAAUUAUUUGACCUUGGCAACACGCCAAUCAAAAAUUUCACCCGGCAACUUAUCGUGCAUAAAUAAUUAUCGUAUAAUUUGACUUAUUUCAAUUUUCUCGGCAUCGACACCUCGUUGUGCUAGAAUACAUUGCAAGUCCAUUGCCCAUUUCCUCCCUCCGAGCAUCCAAUAAUUAGGGGAUUUAAUCCAUUUCCUCAUUGUACCAUGACAGUACAUCAUAUCAAGUAUGCGGAACAUUUUCAAACCCACUGCCAUUUUCUUCUUCCGAUCUUCCAAUAGUUAAGGGAUUUAAUCCAUUUUCUCGCUAUAGCAUAUGACAGUACAUCAUAUCGAGUAUGCAAUCAUACUUUUAAAAAUUAAGAAAAUAAUAACUCGUCAAGUGUCUCAACCUUUUCAUAUUUUAAAAUUAACAUGCUUGUUUUAGAAUUUUAUGUACUUAAGUUCAUUUUUUAUUCUUAGAUUUUCAUAAAAAUAGCAGUGUCUAUUUUCUAAUAUUUUUUCAAAAAAAUAUUACGUGGCCGGUAGCAUAAUACUAACCGUCAUAGGGGAUCACAAAGUGUCUAGCAGCUGCAUGCAUUGUCUCACUUUGACAAACCAUUUAUUUCCUGUCACACUUAGCAUUUAACCCAAGCAUCUGCUCUGACGCACCGCAGCCAUUAGCACAGCUCGCCCACUUGUUUGUGCAAACAUCAGAGAGAACGAGCGUCCAUGUACAAAGCAAGCACAUUAACUCAUGGCACCGCUGUAUUUCCUCCAGACAACCGGCAUAUAGUACUGCAAUAUGCAGAGUGCACAAAUCCCAAUGUAACAAUGACCGGAGUAGAUAACGGGAGUCAUGUAGCUCGGCCUCCAAAACGCUCCUCUCGGCAUAGUUCACCUACAGCAAUGCUAGUAACACCAACCGAGCCAGCAAAUAGCACAUUCUGUCUGGCUCCCAAUUCGGCUGAUUACUUAUUCAUGAGGUCAUGUAAUAGUUGUGAAUACAUAUUUAUUGUAGUGGCAGUCAUGGUGUGACAUGCUCUAUUUUCAUCGUGGUUUAACUACCUCCAAAUUUUGCCGGAAAACUAACCAUAACCUAUUGCUAUCGGAACCUGCACGUGUGUGCUUGGAGCCUGUAGUGCAGCUGAUAGAAUGGAUGCCUCUUGAGGUCAUGUGCAAUCAAGAGAAGAUAAUCUUUCUUUAGGGUCUAAUUUUGUCAUAUUGAACUAUCUAUAUUAUAUUUGACAGGAAGUCCCCAGAUCAUGUAACAAUGUUGUCCCGUUGUCAAAAAUUACUUGAAAUUCUAACUUUCGUCAUAAGCUAAACAUUAAGUUUCGCCAAGUAUAUGCGAAAAUAUGAUAAUAUUUACAAUAUGAAAUAUAUACAGUACAAACAUAUAUUUUAUAAUGAAGCCCAUGAAAUUGAUAUUGAGUUGUAGAUGUUAAUAUAUGUUUUUCAUACACUUGGUCAAACUUAAAAAAGAUUGACUUGAAACAAAGCUAGAACUUGAAGUAAUUCGAAGGAGAAGAGUAUGGGCUAUCGUCAACAGAAAAAGUUUCUCCGACCAUCUAUGAGUAGAACAGUCCCAACCCUCCCACCCCCCCCCCCCACCCCGACCCUGACCCCAUUCCUCCAGCCGUCGCCGAGGGUCCCUCGACCCGCCGCCCCGACGAGCCCAUCCAGUCGGUUGCUGUUGUCUUCUGUCCNCGUUCCGGCGGCGCGGGCGGCGGGAUCCGGUGGUCGUUGGCGGUUGGCGGCGGCUUCUGUGGUGGCCGGUGCGCGCGAUCUGGCGCAUCCCCUCCUCCCCUGUUCGGCGUGCGGGCCAGCCUGGUCGGGCCGCGCUUCCUUGGGUCGCCGGUUCUGUACAGGAGGCACUGCUGGUGGCGGGGAUCUAGUUCGGGCGAAAUCCCUAACCGGUCAUGGCUGGCCGCGUUGACGGUGACGCCUCAGGGCGCCGUUCCCCUUCUUGGAGGCGUCGGUAUGGACUGAUCCCAUCACUUCCCCUUCCCCUAGGUCUCCUGGGCGAAAGCCCUAACUUUAUUGGGCGGCGACGGCACUCACGGCAUCAUUCCCUUCUUCAAGGCGUCGCUUUCGGAACCUUGGGACUGGGUGGCGCUUGUGGGUAGUGGGCGACGGCGGUGGUGCGGCCCUAUCCUAGCAUGGAUCAUCGUUUGACGUCAUAGUGGCGUCGAUGGUUUAGGCACCUAUCAAGACUCGCACCUCAAUCUGCUUUAAAGAUGAACCAGUGGAAGAUGGUUCUAACUGAAACUGACUGUCGCGCCAGAGAUCGCACAGCCCGCGUCUUCUGGCGCUCUAACUGAAACUGACUGAACUAACUUAGCUAAAAUGGAGCGAGUGGCUAACUGAACUAACACUACGUUAUUUCUAAAAGAACUGAAACUCUUGACACGUGCGGGCUUAGACGAGCUAACACUGGGUUCAUGACGGGACGGACGGGGACUUGCGCUUUCCAAUGUGUUGCUGAGGUUAGCAGACCCGGUAAUGUUGAUGGGAACCUACCGUGUCGACAACGACGAUGUUGAGAAUGUUCAGAAGGGCAUCUGCAAAUGGCAUGGCUCGUCUGCUGAAGCAGAACAAGAUCAGGCAAGGCUUUGCUUCGAGAGACACCUCAAAUGGCUCCCUAUCAACUGACCACUCGCUAUAAGCCUUAGGUGUAUAUUUGAUAUUUGUGAUGUAACUUUACUCACUGGUACAUAUGAUUUCCCCUCUUAUUAGGAGUGCUACCUCUUGGUUUUUAUUUUAUUUUUCUCUUUCUUAUUUCUAUUUUUUCAUUUCCAUUUUUCCAUCCUGUUUUUUUAUUUUUUCCACACUUUUCAAAUGCAUGAACUUCUUUCGAAUUUUGUGAACUUUUUAACAAAACUAUAUGAACUUAUUUUCAAAAUCGAUGAUCGUUGUUUCCAAAUUCAUAAAUUUAUUUUAAAAAUCGAUGAACCUUUCAAAUUCAUCAACCCUUUAUCAAAAUCAAUGAACUUUUUUCACAGUUUGUGAUUUUUUUUUUCAAAAUUACAUGAACUUCUUCUCAAAUUCUUGAACUUAUUAAAAAAAACAAUAUGAGUUUUGAAAGUUGAUAGAGCGAGCUAGCCUGCGUGUCGAUGGAGGGAUCGAGCGAUUCCCGACCGAGGCAAAUUCACCAUCCACCCCCAGCAGUUUGUACCCACAAAAAAAUGGUCAUGAACUUGUUGUCGAUUGUCUGUUGUGUGACAAUGUUGCGAUUGCCCAAUGUGUAACUUAACUAAUAAUCUAUCCAAUAACUUUUCUACUAUCGAAUCCCGACAAAAUAAGUUUGAUGGUGUGAAUCACAACAUUUCUUAUUGCCAGUUCAGUGGCUAACUUGUGACUGGCGUUGCUUCCUUUCCCAUGACAAGGUACAUUCAUGCUAUUGGUCUCCUUCUACAAGUCCAAUCAAGGUGAAAUGCAUGAUCAUAAAAUUGUUGAAACGGUGUACUCUGGCUGGCAUGCAGCAACUAUUUAUAUAUGCAUGCUUCUUCAGGGAUAUCAUUCCCACUAUUGUGGUAUCAUAGGAACUCCUCCACCUUAACUUCCAUUUGAGUCAUGUGAGAUUUUGGUGGAAACCAAAACUCCAGGCCAUGUUCCUCUGGAAAUACUCCCUUCGUCCGGAAAUAUAGGUUGUUGAAGGAAUCAUACCGACCAGAUGAAAAUCAAGGAAAGGACCUUAUUACCCCCCGCUACAUUUGAAUCCUCUGCCCCCCGAUCGACUUCUCCCUGCUUGAGCCACCUCCGCCUCCGUACCACCUCCACCUCCACCUCCAACCUCAGUCCCCACCUCCACCUCCGCCCCCAAGCUAUGGCCCCACCUCCACAUCCGCCCAUGUCCUCAGCCCCCACCUCCGUCCAGAUCCUCUGCCAAGGCCUCCACCUCCGCCCAGGUAUUCCUCCCAAGUCCUCGAUCCUCCACCCAAGUCCUCGACCCACUGCCCUCAGGGUCGUUGGUGUUUCUCCUUCCCUACCUAGGGUCGUGGUGCUUCUCCUUCCCCGCCACUGCCACAGGAGUUUGGCUGGUGAAUUUCUGGAAACAAUCGAUUUGGAAACAAUUAAUGCUCAACUGUUAAUUUUGGAAACAAUAAAUUUAGGAAAUGAUCAAUAAACUCAAUAAGUUUUGCAAAGGAUCAAUAAGUUGGGCAGAUGAGUAUUGCAUAAAUUUUAGAAAGAAACAAUAAAUGUUGGAGUAUUAAUUUGGAAACAAUCAAUCCUCCAAUACUGAAAAAUUGCAUGGACUAGACCUAUUAUUGCUCUAUGGCAUAUUUUGGAAAUAAGCAUAUUUUGCCAACACGAGCAAGCAAGUUCUAUGUAUAUAUGUUUGGAUCAAUGGAAUGAGAUUACUCCCUAUUACUGUACAUAUGUGUAUAUACUUCCCGUGAAAGGCCAAACAUAUGUGUAUAUACUCCCUGUUACAGACUGUACAAGUGAAUUUCGCAGAAUUUUCAGUGCAAAAUGUAUGCAUAUAUACUCCGCGUAAAAUUGUAUAAACGAUUUUGGCAGAAUUUUCAGUGCAACAUGUAUGUAUAUUUACAGACUGUACUACGGACAAAACAUGUGUGUAUAACGAGUGUACAGACUUGCUACUAAAUUUGGCAGAAUUUUCAGUGCAAAAUAUAUGUAUAUAUGCUCCCUGUAAAACUGUAUAUAAAAAUUUGUAUAUACUCCCUGUAAACUGUGUAUACAUAAUGUGUUUAUACAGAAGAAUGCCAAAAUGUGCUACUCCCUGUAAAACUGUAUAGAUAAUCCAAUAUGACAAGAGUAUAAGAAUGCCAAAUGUGUGUAUAGAGAAGAAGGCCAAAUGGAGUAAAAAUGUAGGUCUUGAUUCCUUUCCAAAAUUUUAGAAAUAAAUAUUGUACCGCAGACUUGGAAUACCAUGUUAAUUACCUGAAACUUAACAGCACUAAAACUUGUAGUACCACUCAAAUAGAGUAAAGGGUUAAAUGAACUACUCCAUUUGGAUUUUACCAGGAGUAAAGGCAAAAUAUUCAGCCAGCAGAAAAUUUUAGUUAGCCGGAGUAAUACACAAAUGUUCAGUUAACCGGAGUAAUACAGAAAACAUAAGGACAAGCAAGUUUGUCAAGAUGACUCAAGCGUCCCAAACAUAUGACGCUACAGAUCGAGUUCACAAGAUGACCCACCAAGUCUUCUCACAGAAAUACUCCUUUAUCAGCAACUAUGUCAAGUGCACACAAAUAUUUACAAGAAUAUCUUAUAUCUUAUCUUAUCUAUAAUCUAUAAUCUCUCUAUAACUAAACUAAUUAAGGACUCUCCAGAAAUUCUCACGUUAAUCAGUAAUUAGGAGCGCUCGUGGGCCAAGUUAUUACGGUGUAGAUUAAUCCUACAAAUUUUGACGUUAAUGAGUAAUUAGGAGCCGUUAAUCUCGUAGGGCCGAGUUAUUACGGUGUAAAUUAAUCCUACAAAUUUUGAUGUUAAUAAAAAAUGAUUAUGCACUCUCCUUCUCUCCUAAUCACUCACUCCUUAUCUCAUAAUCUCUCACGACUCCCCUUUCUGAAUAUUUCUAUGUCACCAAAAAAAAAAAACAAUUUCGAUCUCACAAACGAUAUGUUGAGUUUCAACGCAGCUUUUCUACAUCUCACAAACGAUCGUUCUAGAGGGGCUCUUCUCCUCGUCACGCCCAUGUACGCCGCGGUCACACAUCCUUACCUCCCCUUUAUACCCAGCUUACUCUGCCUAUGAUCAUCAGAUGGAUCAAAGCAUGCAUGCAUGACGUAUUUAACUUAAUAUAAGGAGAUCCGCUGGGAGAUAAGUUGUUGUGCUCUACUUUCCUUCAUCUGUAAAAAAUCAAGGUAAUUGAACCGAGUUGGUUUCAUCAGCUACAUGUGCAAUACACGGGAAUUCAUUACCUCUAUAUAUUUAUUCCAUGAGCACACAAAUGGCAGAUCGGAUUGAGGCUGGGAGGCUAACGCGGAAUUGCAUUGACGAUACUGAUGGCCAUGAUCAAUCAAACGUACACGGACACGUUCAACUCAGUCGAAGUGCCCCAACUGCAGGGCGUUAGCACAUAGACGGAGGCUUAGGUAAGGUCCACACGAUGAGAUUAUACCCUGCAUGUCGCUGCAUGACAGAAUCACUCAACGAGAGGAUCACUGUUAUGGUUGACGAACAGAGCAUGUUAUGGAAUCCAAUUUCUAGGUGUGCAUGUUGUGGUUCUACGUUCUGCACAUCAGCAAUGGACAGGAGCAUCCUAUGAUGGAGUCCAAAGAAAAAUCCUCAAAACAGUUGAACGUCCAAGCUAUGCUAUCGUCUCAUCAUUGGAGUAUAGAAAAACUGCUUUGAAAACUGAGACCGCUCAAGAUGGUAUGAGAUGUUUCACUUCGCAUGCUUAUUAUUCUAUUUUCUUCGUGUUCUAAUUGGUGGUAGUUUCGUUUCUUCCUCUUUUUACAGAUUGUAUAUAUAUUAUAAAACAAUUUAUAGCCCGAGAAAGCAAUAACAUCGGAGACCGAGCGGUCUGGACGUAAGUGGAGUGAGAGAACAUGGCAUUGUUCAGGGCAGCGUUGUCGGACACCUUGUUUCGCAAGCCACACCUGUCGCCAUCCAGUUCAAUAGACCACCAAAAUCAGGACUUCAUACAUGCACUUGAGCUAUGCAAUCAUACAUGCCCUUCUGCAAGCAUGUAUGUAUGCAUGGACCGAAGUACAUAUCAAUUUCGACGUAUGUAAUCAUACAUGCACUUCUAUAAGCAUGUAUGUAUGCAUGGUCCGAAGUAUGUGUUGGUUGAUCUGUGAAGGACAGGCUACAAUAGGUACAUUUAAAAAAAUAAUACGGUACAAUUUAUAGAUUAAAUUAUCACAACCUUUCCUUCAAACUAAAAACCCUAUAAUCUACCUUCGUAGUACUUCUCCUUCCACAAAGAAUUGUCUAAAACAAAAAUCCAAAUAUGGAAAGUAGUAUUUGAACAUGAUAUGUUCUCCUUAGGACUUGCUAUGAUUAAAAGGUAUUCGAUCUACCGCAAGUUAUUUCCUCUUUUCAUGUCGAAUGGUUGAACCUUGCAGAAUUCUUAUGUAGUGUUCUACGAUACUAACCCAUACAAUUGAUUUGCUGGCAUGAUCAUGACCGGACCUUCUAUGACCUUGACGUACAAGGAGAAAAAGUUGUACGAAAAGACACGCAAGCAGUUGUUUCAGGCAUCCUGUUCUAAUCCCCUGUCAUAGUCAAUGUGCAUCAAGUCAUGGGUUAGAGUCUAUAAGGAGCCUGUCCAAUUGCAUACACUAGAUUUGAUCUGGGGAGUGUUACAUUUUAACAAAAAAAUCAUAUACUUUUUUAACCGGAUGAAUAAAAGAUGCCAGUGAAAUAGAUGUACACCAUUGAAGUUGUGUGUUCUUCUAUUUCAUGUUUUGUACAAUGUAAGUGAGAACACAGCUUAACAACUACAUCACAAAUAGUCUAUUUAAGGUUUCUAAACUUUAGUAUAUAGUGUUAGACAUAUAUAUUCUUGGUUCGUCAUAUGGCAAUCACAAGAGUACUAGACACCAUGAUAUAUGUAUAUAUAGUCGAAAAUGGAAUCACUAAAAAGACUUAUAUUUAAUAACGGAGAGAGUAUAUAAAAAGCACAUGCAGCUAACCGUCCAUGCUUUAAAAGCUUCACUACAGAGUUUGAGCACCAGAAUUUGUUAGAUGGAAAAGCGAUCUAGCAAUAGGGCACCUCAAGCAUGCAUGUGUCAUAUAUGCUUUUUACCUACAGAUUCCACACCGGCCGGCCAUACCAUACGGGAUGGGAGACUCGUGUAGAUCAGAUAUAUAUGUAUGACAAAAAGAUGUACGCAUGAGAAACGAGGGGAUAUAUGCAUGACAAGGAGAUAUAUGCAUGAAAAAUGACGGACCUCUGUGCCACUGUGAUGUGAUAUGUACAGCUCUCUCUCUAUAUAUAUAUUUCCACUGAGAUAACUGUUAUCAUCGACAUGACCUUUGCCGUCCCCAAAUUUAGCAUAUACAAUUGUUAUCCUUCGCCUUCUCCAAAUUUAGCAUAUACAACUGUUAUCAUCGACAUGGAUCCCAAACACGAUUGCUGCUUCUCAUAACUGUUAUCAUCGGCAUGACCUUUGCCGUCCCUU
rnacentral:lncRNA from 1 species